CCGUAAUGCAACUUUCUUGAAAUUGUUCAUUGCUUUGAACUGCUUGAGCCUGGACAUCACCGCAUUGUCAAGAGGAACAUCUGGUGCCUCUCCAUCCUCCUUGAUCCAUGGAUGGUCUUUACAAAGGAUGCUUACUUAGAACUUGGGCAGCUGUUAGUCUUUGCUUGGGAUCAGAGUUGAGCAUCUUCUUAACAAGAUCCUUCGCCUGAGGCGAGAUAGAUGGCCAUGGAUCGCUUGAGAAAUCAACAUGUCCCCUUAGGAUGGCGUUGAAUAUCCCAUUCUCCGACUCUAUGAUCAGCCCAGAAUGGUGGAACACCACACAAGAGGAUAUACAACAUG